GUCCAACUGAUGAGUGCUGGAUAGGAUGAAACGCGCGUCGUGGAU
rnacentral:hammerhead_ribozyme from 1 species